rnacentral:piRNA from 1 species
UGAGGUAACAACGAAAAGUGUGUGGGG